rnacentral:rRNA from 2 species
GGUCCGAGUUUGAAAGAUGGCUUCGGCUAUCACUUUUGGAUGGUCCCGCGGCGUAUUAGCUAGAUGGUGAGGUAACGGCUCACCAUGGCAAUGAUACGUAGCCGACCUGAGAGGGUAAUCGGCCACAUUGGGACUGAGACACGGCCCAAACUCCUACGGGAGGCAGCAGUAGGGAAUCUUCCACAAUGGACGAAAGUCUGAUGGAGCAACGCCGCGUGAGUGAAGAAGGGUUUCGGCUCGUAAAACUCUGUUGUUAAAGAAGAACAUAUCUGAGAGUAACUGUUCAGGUAUUGACGGUAUUUAACCAGAAAGCCACGGCUAACUACGUGCCAGCAGCCGCGGUAAUACGUAGGUGGCAAGCGUUGUCCGGAUUUAUUGGGCGUAAAGCGAGCGCAGGCGGUUUUUUAAGUCUGAUGUGAAAGCCUUCGGCUCAACCGAAGAAGUGCAUCGGAAACUGGGAAACUUGAGUGCAGAAGAGGACAGUGGAACUCCAUGUGUAGCGGUGAAAUGCGUAGAUAUAUGGAAGAACACCAGUGGCGAAGGCGGCUGUCUGGUCUGUAACUGACGCUGAGGCUCGAAAGUAUGGGUAGCAAACAGGAUUAGAUACCCUGGUAGUCCAUACCGUAAACGAUGAAUGCUAAGUGUUGGAGGGUUUCCGCCCUUCAGUGCUGCAGCUAACGCAUUAAGCAUUCCGCCUGGGGAGUAC